UUAUUUAUUUUUGUGAGCAGGGAAAGUUUUGGUUUCUCCAAUUGAGAGAUAUGCAGUUGUUCCUGAUGACAACGUCAAAAGGAUAAAUUUUGCCGAGGGGAAGAUCUGAUUCUAGAAGUAAGGAAUUUGCAGCUUGAUUUUUGAAAUAGGCUCAAAAUUGAGAUCUUGUUGGAAAUUUUUUAAUUUUUGUAAGAGCAUUUAAAUAUCCAAUGUGCUGAUUGGUGAAUUUUAGAUUUUAUUUUAUUAUUUUAUUUUUUU